UUUCCGUAGGUGAACCUGCGGAAGGAUCAUUAAAAAAUCGUCUGAGCCGCAAGGCUCUAUUAUUUUGUGAAUUGAAGGGAUUGAGAUCUUGUGAGGAUGGAUUGUCUGGUGAUGAUGUAGGUGCGUAGGGGUUGCUGUGGAAGCUCUGCAAGGAGCCUCUACUGCCUGCCACUCUGUACCAAGUCUCAGCAUAUUCUCCACCUACAUACAUACAAGCAAGCUUUCUCCCCUAUUUAAAUAUAUGUUUCUGAUGUUGAGGAAUUAUAUAUCUAUAAUAUAUAUACAACUUUCAACAGUGGAUCUCUCGGCUCUU
rnacentral:misc_RNA from 1 species